rnacentral:rRNA from 1 species
AAUAGAUACCCUGGUAGUCCACGCCGUAAACGAUGGAUACUAGCUGUUCGUCCGCCUCGGCGGAUGAGUGGCUAAGCGAAAGUGAUAAGUAUCCCACCUGGGGAGUACGAACGCAAGUUUGAAACUCAAAGGAAUUGACGGGGGCCCGCACAAGCGGUGGAGCAUGUGGUUUAAUUCGAUGAUACGCGAGGAACCUUACCAAGGCUUAAAUGUAGAUUGACAGGACUGGAAACAGUUUUUCUUCGGACAAUUUACAAGGUGCUGCAUGGUUGUCGUCAGCUCGUGCCGUGAGGUGUCAGGUUAAGUCCUAUAACGAGCGCAACCCCUGUUGUUAGUUGCCAGCGAGUGAUGUCGGGAACUCUAACAAGACUGCCAGUGUAAACUGUGAGGAAGGUGGGGAUGACGUCAAAUCAUCACGGCCCUUACGCCUUGGGCUACACACGUGCUACAAUGGCCGGUACAGAGAGCAGCCACUGCGCGAGCAGGAGCGAAUCUAUAAAACCGGUCACAGUUCGGAUCGGAGUCUG